CCCUUAGAUGUCCUGGGCCGCACGCGCGUUACACUGAUGCAUUCAACGAGCUUAUAACCUUGGCCGAGAGGCAUGGGCAAUCUUGUUAACGUGCAUCGUGAUAGGGAUAGAUUAUUGAAAUUAUUAAUCUUGAACGAGGAAUUCCUAGUAAACGCAGAUCAUCAAUCUGCAUUGAUUACGUCCCUGCCCUUUGUACACACCGCCCGUCGCACCUACCGAUUGGAUGGUCCGGUGAAGCCUCGGGAUUGUGGUUCUUGCCGCUUUAUUGUGGCGUGACCGCGAGAACUUGUCUAAACCUUAUCAUCUAGAGGAAGGUGAAGUCGUAACA
rnacentral:rRNA from 1 species